rnacentral:rRNA from 1 species
UAAGGUCUAACCUUCGGGAGGACGGUUACCACGGUGUGAUUCGAAUGACUGGGGUG